UACGAAGGGAGCUAGCGUUGUUCGGAAUCACUGGGCGUAAAGCGCACGUAGGCGGAUUUGCCAGUCAGGGGUGAAAUCCCGGGGCUCAACCUCGGAACUGCCUUUGAUACAGCAAGUCUUGAGUUCGAGAGAGGUGGGUGGAAUUCCUAGUGUAGAGGUGAAAUUCGUAGAUAUUAGGAAGAACACCGGUGGCGAAGGCGGCAUCCUGGACCGACACUGACGCUGAGGAGCGAAAGCCAGGGGAGCAAACGGG
rnacentral:rRNA from 1 species